UCUGGCGAUUGGCUGGGUGAGACAUUUUGGGGUGCAUGGCAGCCUCUCCUUCCCCGCCGCGUGUUCCCAACCCUAGCCCCGGAUGCAGCCAUCCACUCCCACCUCCUCCUCCUCCCGAUUCCCACAGCCGCCGCAUCCCUCCCUCUUCCUUGCGUGCGUGCUCGUCGCCGCUUUUCCCCUCGCUUCCCCACCUUACCUCCGACGCCUCCACCGGCUACCACAGAUCUAUGGCCGAUGGGAGGAUACGAGGAAGGAAAGGACGUUGUUGUCGCCCCGUCACUUAGGCCCCCUGGCGGCGCCCGGGUCGGGGCUGGGAAGAAGGCCAGUGCCCGCAAGGGAAAGUAGCGGGGGGCGGGGGUUGGUGCAGCGGCAAAUGCGGGCGGGGUCUGCCAUGGAGGGAGGCUCGCCGGCCGGAACAGCAGGAGCAAGGAGGUCGUGCAGCCGAUGCGGGCGGGGUCGGUCGUGGAAGGAGGCUCGCUGGACGGAGCAGCAAGAGAAAGGAGGUGGAGGUGGUUCUGGGGCACCGCAAGGAGUGUAACGCAAAGAUCAUGCUAUGGCGGUACAGUAGGAGGAAGGAGCUGACAGUGGUCAUAGUUUGCCUCUACCUCGCUAUGUGCUAAAGACAGAUCCAGAAGACCCUUGAUGGGUCAUGCUUUUUGGCUGCCUUUUGCGUUCCUGGACAUCAUCGAAGUUGAACUAAGAAGAAGAUGAAAUCUUGCCGAGAUCUGAGGAUGAAGAGAAGAAGAUGUGGGUUAACUUUGGGAAUAGUUGAAUUGGUCAAAAAAUAUGAAUGAAACACAUCAAAGGAUGAGGCUUGUUCAAAUGAAAUUGCAAGAACUUAUGAGCUUGCUUGUCUACUAUGGAGAAGAGUAUUCUUUGAAGGAGUUGUAGGCCUUUCGAAUAUGCUUCGAUUUGGACACUUUUUCAGCAUGUACAUGAUAAGGGCAGGUAAGAGCGCAACUUGGUUUUCGGCUCAGGUUUGACUACUGUUAUGUCAUCCUCAUAUUUGUGUUGCAGGUUACUUGUCUUUCAACCCAUUUGUGAAAAUUAUAGUGCACUUUUUAUGGGGCAGGAUAAAGAGCCCAUGUUAUUUUGCUUGGCUUAUAUUUAGAAGUUUCCAUAUGAUGUUACUAUCUCUAUCUUCCUAUUACUUUCUCCAUCAGUCACAUUUGAAUUUGCUAAUAUAUGUUCUUUUAAACAAGACAUGUACAGAUCUGUGAAUUUUUAUUUGCUGGUAGGGAUUCUUUAUAUUGAUAUGAUUGUAUAAGAAAGAAAGAACUUAUUGACUUAUUUGGAGAUUACCUUUGUAGUAUAAGACAAUGAUAUUUUAAGACAUUCACAAAAAGAAGUAUUCGAUAUGUCAGGAUUUAUAUGAUUACAUAGUCAUGCGUAUUUCAUCUCUUUUCCUGAUCAAUGAAGGAAUGGUCUUGGUAACUUUAUCAGGUCCUUACAUCUAUUUGUGUAACGUUGAUUCAGGCAAUGAAAAACUUAGGGCCCGUUCGGUAUGGACGAUUUUUGCAGGCAUAUCGCAGGAACUGAAAACAGAGGAAAGUUUGUACAGGCAGUGAAAAUAGGGUGCUCAUUUUUAUCUUGCUGAUUUAGAUUUUGACAGUAGAAUGUGGUUUUGGUAUGUUGCGGUUCACUCGGUUUCGGAAAAGAUGUAAGUGUCAAUUCAUUAUUUUUUCAGGUUUCUUAAUUGUUCAUACAUUUGCAUCUAUGUUACAGGUGCUAGCUUUCAUUGCUAGGAUUUCUUUCAACAUAUUCAAAUCUGUAUAGAAUAAGGUUUCCCCUUGAAUAUACCUUAUGUAUCCAUAUAUUAGAUUUUUGUGUGGUUCAUUUGUUGCAAAAAGUAUAAAUAAUAUUCUGAUUGAUCAUAUGCAAAUUUUGUUUGAAAUCUUAAAGCAGUCUUACUAACAUCUGACAAGUUGUACGUGAAGAAGAUCAUGUCCUAGCAGUUAUAUGCUUGUGGAGUACAUUUAUUGUAUGCUUUUUGUUUAGAUGUAGUUUCAUAUCAUAAUCAAGUGUUUUUGAUGUAGUUUCAUAUCAUAAUCAAGUGUUUUUCAAUACUCUCUCUCUCUCUCUCUCAAAAUGUCUUAAAUUUUUGGUUUUUAAUGUAUUGGCCUCUGAAUGAUCUAGAUGGUAUAUAGGAGUAUCUAUAUCACCGAAUGACCUCGACUUAUACCUUUGUGGUUUGCAACCACUGAAACAUGUGUUGCUGCAGAUUUAUCUUUAUUUUGAUGUUGAGCAUGUAGGCGGGUUCUCAUGGUAGGAUUGGAUACACUCGGAUCUCAAUGGUACUGAUACUCUAAGCAACUUGCUAGCAAGUGUUCUGUCGCAGUUGAUUGCACAUGUGGAGGGCUUCUGGAUGCUUUUAUUGUCUCAUGUCAUAAGGAUUUACAACUUUUACGAGAAUGCGUGCCUAGAGUAUUGAUAAUUCCAGAUGGUUCACUUCCUACAAUAGAUCACCCUACAGUACUAUCAAUUAUUUAGUCAGAGAAUCAUACUAUGCUGAACAUAUUGGUGGAUCAGGUACAGCAAUAUGCACCCAAUGUUUAGUCAUAUGAAGAGAGUGAAAACAGUGUUUACUCUGAAUUUUUAGACAGAUUGGCAUUGCAGCUGGAAGUUUGAUGCGCUGGAUCUCCCCUGACGCGGGAACGGUCAAGUUAAAUUUAGAUGCUUCGUUCUUUGCUGAGACUUGGAGGUGCUGUAUUGGGGCCAUCGCCAGGGGGCCUGUCUUGUCUAAACAGACUGCACUUGCUGUUGAAAGAACUGUCCUCGCCCGCUCCCAGCCGAUAUGUAUGAUUCCCAACUUUAUCUGACAUUAAGACCAGCUCUUCAUUUGUUUCUGUCCAAUUCCGGGCGAUCAACAGGAACCAUAAUACUAUUGCACAUGCCCUUGGUGUGUGCCAGAUCUAAAGACAACAUACUCAAGAUUGCAGAUGUCCUUGCGGAGCUACGUGGAGCAAUUAAAUCUCUGAUUGUAAACAAGGUUCGUGAGUAGUUUCUACUCUGUAUCUCAAAAAAUGCAUCUGAAGGAAAAAGCUUUUAAAAUUGUAAUGUAUUUCACUCCUUUUGUCAUGGAGUAGAUAAGGCCUCUCUGGUUCGGGUGUGACCGUGCUA